GAUGAACGCUGACAGAAUGCUUAACACAUGCAAGUCAACUUGAAUUUGGGUUUUUAACUUAGGUUUGGGUGGCGGACGGGUGAGUAACGCGUAAAGAACUUGCCUCACAGCUAGGGACAACAUUUGGAAACGAAUGCUAAUACCUAAUAUUAUGAUAAUAGGGCAUCCUAUAAUUAUGAAAGCUAUAAGCGCUGGGAGAGAGCUUUGCGUCCCAUUAGCUAGUUGGAGAGGUAACGGCUCACCAAGGCGAUGAUGGGUAGCCGGCCUGAGAGGGUGAUCGGCCACUAGGGGAGUGAGACACGGCACUUACUCCUGCGGGAGGCAGCAGUGGGGAAUAUUGGACAAUGGACCAAGAGUCUGAUCCAGCAAUUCUGUGUGCACGAUGAAGUUUUUCGGAAUGUAAAGUGCUUUCAGUUGGGAAGAAAGAAAUGACGGUACCAACAGAAGAAGUGACGGCUAAAUACGU
rnacentral:rRNA from 1 species